rnacentral:rRNA from 1 species
UGGGGAAUUUUGGACAAUGGGCGCAAGCCUGAUCCAGCCAUGCCGCGUGUCUGAAGAAGGCCUUCGGGUUGUAAAGGACUUUUGUCAGGGAAGAAAAGGAUAGGGUUAAUACCCCUGUCUGAUGACGGUACCUGAAGAAUAAGCACCGGCUAACUACGUGCCAGCAGCCGCGGUAAUACGUAGGGUGCGAGCGUUAAUCGGAAUUACUGGGCGUAAAGCGGGCGCAGACGGUUACUUAAGCAGGAUGUGAAAUCCCCGGGCUCAACCUGGGAACUGCGUUCUGAACUGGGUGACUAGAGUGUGUCAGAGGGAGGUAGAAUUCCACGUGUAGCAGUGAAAUGCGUAGAGAUGUGGAGGAAUACCGAUGGCGAAGGCAGCCUCCUGGGAUAACACUGACGUUCAUGCCCGAAAGCGUGGGUAGCAAACAGGAUUAGAUACCCUGGUAGUCCACGCCCUAAACGAUGUCGAUUAGCUGUUGGGCAGCUUGACUGCUUAGUAGCGAAGCUAACGCGUGAAAUCGACCGCCUGGGGAGUACGGUCGCAAGAUUA